GAGACUGUUUCAAGGGAAGAUGAAUAGCA
rnacentral:piRNA from 1 species